rnacentral:rRNA from 1 species
AGAUUGAACGCUGGCGGCAGGCCUAACACAUGCAAGUCGAGCGGUAGAGAGGUGCUUGCACCUCUUGAGAGCGGCGGACGGGUGAGUAAUGCCUAGGAAUCUGCCUAGUGGUGGGGGAUAACGUUCGGAAACGGACGCUAAUACCGCAUACGUCCUACGGGAGAAAGCGGGGGACCUUCGGGCCUCGCGCCAUUAGAUGAGCCUAGGUCGGAUUAGCUAGUUGUGAGUAAUGGCUCACCAAGGCGACGAUCCGUAACUGGUCUGAGAGGAUGAUCAGUCACACGUAGGAACUGAGACGACGGUCCAGACUCCACGGGAGCAGCAGGUGGGAAUAGUUGGAAC